rnacentral:rRNA from 1 species
AUUGAACGCUGGCGGCAGGCCUAACACAUGCAAGUCGAGCGGAUGAAGGGAGCUUGCUCCUGGAUUCAGCGGCGGACGGGUGAGUAAUGCCUAGGAAUCUGCCUUGUAUUGGGGGAUAACGUCCGGAAACGGGCGCUAAUACCGCAUACGUCCUGAGGGAGAAAGUGGGGGAUCUUCGGACCUCACGCUAUCAGAUGAGACUAGGUCGGAUUAGCUAGUUGGUGUGGUAAAGGCCUACCAAGGCGACGAUCCGUAACUGGUCUGAGAGGAUGAUCAGUCACACUGGAACUGAGACACGGUCCAGACUCCUACGGGAGGCAGCAGUAGGGAAUAUUGGACAAUGGGCGAAAGCCUGAUCCAGCCAUGCCGCGUGUGUGAAGAAGGUCUUCGGAUUGUAAAGCACUUUUAGUUGGGAGGAAGGGCAGUAAGUUAAUACCUUGCUGUUUUGACGUUACCAACAGAAUAAGCACCGGCUAACUUCGUG